CGACUUUCACAUUUUUCUUUAUUAAAAACAUACAAUUUGACAUCAAAAAUGUCUAUAUCAUUUUCAUAACACAAUCUAUGUUUAUUUCCAUGUAACAUCUUAACAUGUGCCUAGCUGAAACAAUUAGCAUGGACUUAAUCAUAACUCAACUCAUGCAUUAACAGAACUGUAACAACUUAAACAGUUCAAUAACAAAAUAAUUUGUGGAUAAAC
rnacentral:lncRNA from 1 species